CCUACGGGAGGCAGCAGUAGGGAAUUUUGCGCAAUGGGGGAAACCCUGACGCAGCAACGCCGCGUGAUCGAUGAAGCCCCUCGGGGUGUUAAGAUCUGUCAGCGGGGACGAAACCUGACGGUACCCACAGAGGAAGCACCUGCUAACUCCGUGCCAGUCGCCGCGGUAAUACGGGGGGUCCAAGCGUUUUCCGGAAUCAUUGGGGGUAAAGAGUUCGAUGGUGGGACGUUAAGGCUGGUGUUAAAGGCGGAAGCUCAACUUCCGUAGGGCAUGGGAUACUGGCGAGCUUGAAUGCGGUAGAGGUAAAGGGAAUUCCUGGUGUAGCGGUGAAAUGCGGAGAUAUCAGGAGGAACAUCGGUGGCGUAAGCGCUUUACUGGGCCGUAAUUGACGCUGAGGAACGAAAGCCGGGGUAGCAAAUGGGAUUAGAUACCCCUGUAGUC
rnacentral:rRNA from 1 species